GCCCUAUACCCGUUAAGGCAUCAUGGCCUGUACCCGAAACCGACACAGGUGGGGUGGUAGAGAAUACCGAGGGGCGCGAGGUAACUCUCUCUAAGGAACUCGGCAAAAUGGCCCCGUAACUUCGGGAGAAGGGGUGCCACCGCAAGGUGGUCGCAGUGAAGAGGCCCAGGCGACUGUUUACCAAAAACACAGGUCUCCGCUAAGUCGCAAGACGAUGUAUGGAGGCUGACGCCUGCCCAGUGCCGGAAGGUUAAGGAAGCUGGUCAGCGCAAGCGAAGCUAGCGACUGAAGCCCCGGUGAACGGCGGCCGUAACAAUAACGGUCCUAAGGUAGCGAAAUUCCUUGUCGGGUAAGUUCCGACCCGCACGAAAGGCGUAACGAUCUGGGCGCUGUCUCGGAGAGAGGCUCGGCGAAAUAGAAUUGUCUGUGAAGAUGCGGACUACGUGCACCCGGACAGAAAGACCCUAUGAAGCUUUACUGUAGCUUGGUAUUGCGCCCGGGCUCGCAAUGCGCAGGAUAGGUGGGAGGCUUUGAUCAUCGGCUUGCGGGUCGAUGUGAGCCAACGGUGAGAUACCACUCUUUGCGAGCUAGGGUUCUAACGGCCACCCGUCAUCCGGGGGCCGGACAGUACCUGGUGGGCAGUUUGACUGGGGCGGUCGCCUCCUAAAAGGUAACGGAGGCGCGCAAAGGUUUGCUCAGGCUGGUUGGAAAUCAGCCGACGAGUGUAAAAGCAGAAGCAAGCUUGACUGUGAGACCAACAAGUCGAACAGGGAGGAAACUCGGCUUUAGUGAUCCGACGGUUCUGAGUGGAAGGGCCGUCGCUCAACGGAUAAAAGUUACUCUAAGGAUAACAGGCUGAUCUCCCCCAAGAGUUCACAUCGACGGGGAGGUUUGGCACCUCGAUGUCGGCUCAUCGCACCUGGGGCUGAAGUCGGUCCCAAGGGUUGGGCUGUUCGCCCAUUAAAGCGGUACGCGAGCUGGGUUCAGAACGUCGUGAGACAGUUCGGUCCAUAUCCGGUGCACGCGCAGGAAUAUUGAGAGGAUUUCUCCCUAGUACGAGAGGACCGGGAGGAACGCACCUCUGGUGUACCAGUUAUCGUGCCAACGGUAAACGCUGGGUAGCCAUGUGCGGAGUGGAUAACCGCUGAAAGCAUCUAAGUGGGAAGCCCACCUCAAGAUGAGUAUUCCCAUGGCGUAAGCCAGUAAGGUCACGGGAAGAACACCCGUUGAUAGGCUCUAUGUGGAAGCGCAGUAAUGCGUGAAGCAGAGGAGUACUAAUAGACCGAGGGCUUGAC
rnacentral:rRNA from 1 species